AACGAACGCUGGCGGCGCGCCUAAUACAUGCAAGUCGAGCGAGAAGACGUAGCAAUACGUUUGUAAAGCGGCGAACGGGUGAGGAAUACAUGGGUAACCUACCCUCGAGUGGGGAAUAACUAGCCGAAAGGUUAGCUAAUACCGCGUACGCUCCUUGGACUUCGGUUCAGGGAGGAAAGCAAUACCGUGGGUAUCGCGCUCUUGGAUGGGCUCAUGUCCUAUCAGCUUGUUGGUGAGGAACGGCUCACCAAGGCUUCGACGGGUAGCUGGUCUGAGAGGACGAUCAGCCACACUGGCACUGCGACACGGGCCAGACUCCUACGGGAGGCAGCAGUAAGGAAUAUUGCGCAAUGGGCGAAAGCCUGACGCAGCGACGCCGCGUGGGGGAUGAAGGCCU
rnacentral:rRNA from 1 species